AGGAGGGGAGUUUGCAGGUGGGAGCUGCCUGAAUGCGCUGCUCUGAGCCGCCUGAAGGCUGAUGUGCUGCUCUGUGAGGCUGGAAUCCCCUUAUUUUGUGCCAGAAUCACCUUAUUUUGUGCUAGAACCACCUUAUUUUUUGCUAGAAUCCCCUCAUUUUGUGCCGGAAUCCCUUAUUUUGUGCCAGAACCACCUCAACCAGCGACACCUGGGCCAGUGACACCUCACCCCCCUCAUCCACAGCUCCCUGCCUGCCUCCCCCUGACAUCCCAACGUGUUUUUUUUCCAGGCCCUGGAGCUGGCGGAGCACUUCAGCCCCGAAGAUAUCCGCAAGAUCACCCUGGCCCUGGCCUACCAGAACCGCCGCUGCGUGCCCCUGCUGCGUGCCCUGUCCUACCACCUCCUGCAGAAACACACCGAGCUCGACCUCGCCACCCUGACCGACCUGAUUUUUGCUUAUGGAAAACUGAAUUUCCACCAGCCCCAGGUCUUCCAGAAGCUCGCCACCGACCUGCAGCCCCACGUGGCCAGCAUGACGCCGGGCGAGGUGACGCGCUGCAUCAGGUCCUUCGCCCUCCUCAAGUGGCUCAGCCUCCCCCUCUUCGAGGCCAUCGCGCAGUACGCCCUGGACAACGCCAAGCAGCUCUCGGUCGCCCACCUGUGCAGCAUCAUCCUCUCCUUCGCCCGCCUCAACUUCCAGCCCAGCGGCAGCGAGGAUUUCUUUAACAUG
rnacentral:lncRNA from 1 species